CCCAUGCCGCGACGCUGCUCCAGCAUCCAAGCUGAGUAGAGCUCCACCACCCUCAACUCCACCUCAGGCCAACACCCACUCCCCACGUACGUACCCGCUUGUGAGCCCCGAAAACAGGCUGCACGCUCGUGCCGCUGCGUCCUCAGUCUCACUCCUUCACUCCUUCCACAACAGGCUGCACGCUCGUGUUUCAGGCGCGACAGUACCUGUGCAGUGUGCACCCAGACAAACCCGUGUCCCAAGCCACGCACACCAUAUUGUCG
rnacentral:lncRNA from 1 species